UUGGAAUCCAUCUCAGUAGGAGGUAUAAG
rnacentral:piRNA from 1 species